rnacentral:rRNA from 1 species
CUGUCUCUUUAUAUAAGAUUUGAAGUUGACUUUUGAGUGAAAAGGCUUAAAUUUAAUAAAGGGACGAUAAGACCCUAUAAAACUUUAUAUUAAAUAUAAUAUACCUUAUAAAUGUGUUUAAUGAGGAAUAAACUGUUUAUAUUUUACUGGGGCGGUAAGAAUAUAAAUUAUUAACUGUUCUUAAUAAAUCAAUAUAAUUGUUAAAUAUAAUGAUCCUUUAAUUAAGAUUAAAAGAAUAAGUUACUUUAGGGAUAACAGCGUUAUUUUUUUUAAGAGUUCUUAUCGAUAAAAAAGAUUGCGACCUCGAUGUUGAAUUAAAAGUUCCUCAUAGUGCAGCAGUUAUGAAGGAAGGUCUGUUCGACCUUUAAAAUUUUA